UGGUCAAGUNGUGGUUUAGGACAUCUCUCUUUCAAGGAGGCAGCGGGGAUUCGAAUUCCCC
rnacentral:tRNA from 1 species